rnacentral:rRNA from 1 species
AGAGUUUGAUCCUGGCUCAGGAUGAACGCUAGCGGCAGGCUUAACACAUGCAAGUCGAGGGGUAUAGGUUUUCGGACCUAGAGACCGGCGCACGGGUGCGUAACGCGUAUGCAAUCUACCUUUUACAGAGGGAUAGCCCAGAGAAAUUUGGAUUAAUACCUCAUGGUAUUAUUGAAUGGCAUCAUUUAAUAAUUAAAGUCACAACGGUAAAAGAUGAGCAUGCGUCCCAUUAGCUAGAUGGUAAGGUAACGGCUUACCAUGGCAACGAUGGGUAGGGGUCCUGAGAGGGAGAUCCCCCACACUGGUACUGAGACACGGACCAGACUCCUACGGGAGGCAGCAGUGAGGAAUAUUGGUCAAUGGGCGCAAGCCUGAACCAGCCAUGCCGCGUGCAGGAUGACGGUCCUAUGGAUUGUAAACUGCUUUUGUACAGGAAGAAACAGUUCUACGUGUAGAACCUUGACGGUACUGUAAGAAUAAGGAUCGGCUAACUCCGUGCCAGCAGCCGCGGUAAUACGGAGGAUCCAAGCGUUAUCCGGAAUCAUUGGGUUUAAAGGGUCCGUAGGCGGUUUUGUAAGUCAGUGGUGAAAGCCCAUCGCUCAACGGUGGAACGGCCAUUGAUACUGCAAGACUUGAAUUAUUAGGAAGUAACUAGAAUAUGUAGUGUAGCGGUGAAAUGCUUAGAUAUUACAUGGAAUACCAAUUGCGAAGGCAGGUUACUACUAAUAUAUUGACGCUGAUGGACGAAAGCGUGGGGAGCGAACAGGAUUAGAUACCCUGGUAGUCCACGCCGUAAACGAUGGAUACUAGCUGUUCGGAGCAAUCUGAGUGGCUAAGCGAAAGUGAUAAGUAUCCCACCUGGGGAGUACGUUCGCAAGAAUGAAACUCAAAGGAAUUGACGGGGGCCCGCACAAGCGGUGGAGCAUGUGGUUUAAUUCGAUGAUACGCGAGGAACCUUACCAAGGCUUAAAUGUAGAUUGACCGGUUUGGAAACAGAUCUUUCGCAAGACAAUUUACAAGGUGCUGCAUGGUUGUCGUCAGCUCGUGCCGUGAGGUGUCAGGUUAAGUCCUAUAACGAGCGCAACCCCUGUCGUUAGUUGCCAGCGAGUCAUGUCGGGAACUCUAACGAGACUGCCAGUGUAAACUGUGAGGAAGGUGGGGAUGACGUCAAAUCAUCACGGCCCUUACGCCUUGGGCUACACACGUGCUACAAUGGCCGGUACAGAGAGCAGCCACUGGGCGACCAGGAGCGAAUCUAUAAAACCGGUCACAGUUCGGAUCGGAGUCUGCAACUCGACUCCGUGAAGCUGGAGUCGCUAGUAAUCGGAUAUCAGCCAUGAUCCGGUGAAUACGUUCCCGGGCCUUGUACACACCGCCCGUCAAGCCAUGGAAGCUGGGGGUGCCUGAAGUCGGUGACCGCAAGGAGCUGCCUAGGGUAAAACUGGUAACUAGGGCUAAGUCGUAACAAGGUA